rnacentral:ncRNA from 2 species
UAUCUUUGCAAAAAUUUUGGUUUUCAAGCUUUUGAAAAUAAUAGGGAAUUGGGUGUAAACCCCAAACUGUCCCCGCAACUGUAGAUCGCAACCAUAAUUUCUAUAAAAAACCACUGUGAAAACGGGAAGGUAUAGAAAAGCGAAAGUCAGGAGACCUGCCAAAAUGAUAAUAUCAAA